rnacentral:lncRNA from 1 species
ACCGGGGAAAUUUCCGACCGCCGAUCGAGGUAAAUUUCAUACCCCCGACUUGUUUUUCCCCACUGAUUCCUCCUAUGGCCAAAUCGAAGCCGAAAUCCCGGCCAAACGGCCGGAAUACGCGGCCGAAGCCCAGCGGCACCGCCGCGCCCCCUCUCGGUUUUUGCCUCCGACGAGGCCCUUCCCGGCCUCCGUUCGAUGCAAUUUUUAUAUCACCGUGAUCACCAUUCUUUUCUCUACAGGUUGACCGAAGCCAAAUCACCAAAACACAAACUUCGCCGGAGAGUCGCCGUACCCGAGAGCGCCGCCGCCGGUAAGCUCCGUUUUUCCGUGAUUUUUUGGCCCCCCGAGGGCCCUAGGGUUGUUUUCUGACAAGGACCAAUGCGAGUGUGGCCGAAUUCGGCCAAAAACGGCCGAAAACAGUCAACCCGAGGCGACUCGCCGCUGCCAGCGGCGGCGCCGUCGCCGGAGCACGGCGGAGCCGCCGUGCCGGAGUUGCGAUUUGGGCCGAAAGAGGCCCUGGGCCUAAUUUGGAUUUUUUUUGGAACCCGUGCAGGUACUGUGAGCGUGUUUCAGUUCCCCGGGAAAAAUUCAGGGGAAAAUUAGGGACAGCCUGCAGGCGCACUGUGAAU